rnacentral:rRNA from 1 species
UUACGGAAGGCAGCAGUAGGGAAUUUUCCACAAUGGGCGAAAGCCUGAUGGAGCAACGCCGCGUGCAGGAUGAAGGCCCUCGGGUCGUAAACUGCUUUUAUGUGCGAAGAAUAUGACGGUAGCACAUGAAUAAGGGUCGGCUAACUACGUGCCAGCAGCCGCGGUCAUACGUAGGACCCAAGCGUUAUCCGGAAUUACUGGGCGUAAAGAGUUGCGUAGGUGGCAUCAUAAGUGGAGCGUGAAAGCGUGUGGCUCAACCAUACAGCUGCGUUCCAAACUGUGAAGCUUGAGUAUGAGAGGGGUAGAUGGAAUUUCUAGUGUAGGAGUGAAAUCCGUAGAUAUUAGAAGGAACAUCGAUAGCGUAGGCAGUCUACUGGCUCAUUACUGACACUAAGGCACGAAAGCGUGGGGAGCAAACGGGAUUAGAUACCCUGGUAGU